UGAAACAUAGGUGAUGAGACUCACCUUCUGGAAUCUCCAGAGAACCGCCUCCUGGCUGAUAGUCUCUACCUCAAU
rnacentral:ncRNA from 2 species